GACGAACGCUGGCGGCGUGCUUAACACAUGCAAGUCGAACGGACCGAGUUGAUAGCUUGCUAUUGAUGAGGUUAGUGGCAAACGGGUGAGUAACGCGUAGGCAACCUGCCCUUCAGAUGGGGACAACACCUCGAAAGGGGUGCUAAUAACCGAAUGACGUUUCCUAGUCGCAUGACCUGGAAACCAAAGGCCGGGCAACCGGUCACUGAAGGAUGGGCCUGCGUCUGAUUAGCUAGUUGGUGGGGUAACGGCCCACCAAGGCGACGAUCAGUAGCCGGUCUGAGAGGAUGAACGGCCACAUUGGGACUGAGACACGGCCCAAACUCCUACGGGAGGCAGCAGUGGGGAAUAUUGCACAAUGGGGGAAACCCUGAUGCAGCGACGCCGCGUGAGUGAAGAAGUAUCUCGGUACGUAAAGCUCUAUCAGCAGGGAAGAAAAUGACGGUACCUGACCAAGAAGCCCCGGCUAACUACGUG
rnacentral:rRNA from 1 species